rnacentral:lncRNA from 1 species
UUUCUUUCCCUCUGACCAAGCCAAGCCAUUGUUGAUAGACUAUGAAUGGCGACCCGCAACUUUAGAUGACACCAAGAUGACACCAAUUAUCCGUUCAGGUGGCAAGAAUGGUGGUACAAGCAUUGGAACGACGUGAAAUUGGAGAGAGGACACGGUGGUAGAACAUUUUCUAGCUAAAAUUCCGUGAUCCCAGUGUCGAAUGGACGUGUUUCUACCUGUAAUUAUUUAUUUCCUUUCUCUAUCGAUUUUUAUUUUCAACGGAGAGGACUACAAUUACAAAAUUCAUAAAUUUUUCAAAAUCAAAAUAAAAAAUAAACAAUAUAUUACUGUUCAUCUUGUAUCACAUAAUUUAUGCAUAAUCAUGUAUAUUCAACAAACUAUGUAUAUAUUUCACAAUUUAAGUGUUACAUGAUAUUGCAAUGUAUUUGAAACCAAGUACUUGAAUAUCCAUAGAUUCUACAACUGAUGCGCUUUCAUUCUAUGCUGAUAACAUAUAAAAAAUAGGACUUCCAAAGAUCGUGAUACGUGUACACAUGAAUAGAAAGCCUUUCUAUCUAGUGGGAUCGGGCAGUAAGAAGUCCGACCUAUUAAGUACAAAGAAUCAGACCAGCAACACUCUUGAGUUCACUAAAACUCGAAAUGGACAGACCGACCUCCUCAAAGACCGAAAAGGACGGAAAGACUGACCUUCUCAAAAGUCUGUACUAUAACAAGGUUUUGAACGCCGACAUGGCCGACCUCAG